rnacentral:rRNA from 1 species
AUUGAACGCUGGCGGCAUGCCUUACACAUGCAAGUCGAACGGUAACGGGUCCUUCGGGAUGCCGACGAGUGGCGAACGGGUGAGUAAUAUAUCGGAACGUGCCCAGUAGUGGGGGAUAACUGCUCGAAAGAGCAGCUAAUACCGCAUACGACCUGAGGGUGAAAGGGGGGGAUCGCAAGACCCCUCGCUAUUGGAGCGGCCGAUAUCAGAUUAGCUAGUUGGUGGGGUAAAGGCCUACCAAGGCAACGAUCUGUAGUGGGUCGGAGAGUACGACCAGCCACACUGGGACUGAGACACGGCCCAGACUCCUACGGGAGGCAGCAGUGGGGAAUUUUGGACAAUGGGCGCAAGCCUGAUCCAGCAAUGCCGCGUGCAGGAAGAAGGCCUUCGGGCUGUAAACUGCUUUUGUCAGGGAAGAAAUCUUCUGGGCUAAUACCCCGGGAGGAUGACGGUACCUGAAGAAUAAGCACUGGCUAACUACGUGCCAGCAGCCGCCGUAA